rnacentral:rRNA from 1 species
CAGUAGCGUAUAUAAAAGUUGUUGCAGUUGAAAAGCUCGUAGUUGGAUUUCUGGCUUGGAACGGCUGGUCCGCCGUAUAUGCGGUGCGUACCGGUUCGAUCCAGCCAUCCUUCCAAGGACCUCUCCUGCCCUUCAUUGGGUCGGGUGUAGGCACUUGGAUCGAUUACUUUGAAAAAAUUAGAGUGUUCAAAGCAGGCGUUUGUCUUGAAUACAUUAGCAUGGAAUAAUGACAUAGGACUUUGGUUCUAUUUUGUUGGUUUCUAGGACUGAAGUAAUGAUUGAUAGGGAUAGUUGGGGGUGCUAGUAUUGUGCGGCCAGAGGUGAAAUUCUUGGAUUCGCGCAAGACUAACUAAUGCGAAAGCAUUCACCAAGGAUGUCUUCUUUA